GCGAAAGUGGCGGAACUGGUAGACGCCCUGGACUUAGGAUCCAGUGCUUUAUGCGUGGGGGUUCAAAUCCCCCCUUUCGCACCA
rnacentral:tRNA from 1 species